CUGGAGGACCCGGGCUACGGGGCUCCGGGGCGUCUGGCCUGGUUGGGACUGAGCCCAUCCAGGGACUGGGACUCUGGGAUUCUGUUGUAGGUGGAUCUGGGGCAGGCUCAGGACCAAGUCCCUCUCCUUCCACCAAGGAGCGCCCAGAGGCCGGCGGGAGCUCCAGGUUCACCUCCUCCUCCUCCAGGAAAUCCCACUUCCAACUGGAUGUCUGGAUGAACUACUGAAAGCUGCUGAGUGUCCUGCGGCAGGUGAGCUGUGGCCAGAGCCCAAGG
rnacentral:lncRNA from 1 species